UGAUCUCUUAUUUUUCACAGUGUAAUGGGACAGGGAGAUGAAAUUGGCAUUUUGCCAAGAUUCUGUGAAGAGUUGUUUGAAAGGAUCAAAUGUUGGAAAGAGCUGCAGUUCACAGUGGAAAUAAGUUACUUUGAAAUCUAUAAUGAGAGGAUUCAUGACUUGUUGGCAUCAAGUAAAAAGAAAGAUGGCAAAAGAGCUCAGUUGAGGGUCAGAGAGCACCCAAUAUUGGGACCAUUUGUUCAAGAUCUGACUACGUACACUGCAAGUUCAUAUGCAGAUGUUGAGUCUUGGCUAGCUGUUGGAAAUAGUAUUAGAGCAACAGCCGCCACAGGAAUGAAUGACAAGAGCAGUCGUUCUCACUCUGUUUUCACCCUGGUCAUGACACAGACAAGGACUGAGAUAUUUGAAGAUUCAGAAACACAGAUGACGACAGCCAGUAAAAUAAAUCUGAUUGACUUGGCUGGAAGUGAGAGAGCAAGUCAGGUGUUGAAUGACCAGGUGGUCAAGACAGCUGAGACUGCAGCACUUAGACUCAAGGAAGGAGGCAGCAUUAACAAGUCCUUACAUACACUUGGUAAAGUGAUAUCUCUACUGUCAGACAGAGAAGCUCAGUCCAAAAAGAAAAUGUACAUACCUUACAGAGACUCCACUCUUACUUGGUUACUGAAGGACAGUUUGGGUGGAAACUCAAAGACAGCCAUGAUAGCUAAUAUCAGCCCUGCCAGCACUUCAUUUGGAGAAUCACUGAGUACUUUGAGAUAUGCCCAGAGAGCGCGUACAAUUGUCAACAGAGCAAUCAUUAACGAGGAUCCAAAUGCGAAGAUCAUUAGAGAAUUAAAAGCCGAGAUCGAGAGAUUAAAACAGUCUCACGUUGAAGGGAACCAGCAGAUAAGCGCCAGAGCCUUGGCUGAAGUUGCUUCGUUGAGAGAGAAGCUGAAGGAGACACAACGCCUAUUGGCUGAGUCAACUCGGAACUGGCAAGAAAAACUUGCGAUAACGGAAAAAAGGAAACUGGAAGAAGCCGAAAAGCUCAAGAAAGCAGGCAUCUCUUUUAAAGUGGAUAAUCGGUUACCAAACCUUGUUAAUUUGAACGAAGAUCCUCAGCUGUCGGAAAUGUUACUGUAUAUGCUGAAAGAAGGAGAGACUACGGUUGGUCAGAAUGAUCAUGAUAUUAAACUGAGCGGUGCACUUGUUGCUGAAACGCACUGUGUCUUGCGAAAUAACGGGGACAAGGUUACAGUUUCACCGAUAGGAGAUGCGCUAACAUACGUCAACGGCCAGCUUAUUAUAGAAGAAACAGUCCUUCAUCAUGCUGAUCGUGUGGUUAUUGGAGGUGAUCACUUCUUCAGAUUAAAUCAUCCUAAAGAAGUGAAAAAGAGAAAGAUAAGUAAAUCUGAAGCUCCAGAAGGGAACACUCCAGAGGCCGCCGUUUUAAAGGACUUCGAGUUUGCAAGGAACGAACUGGCUCAAGCACAGAAUGCAAGGCUGCAAGCGGAACUCGAGGAAGCCAGAGAAGAAGCGAGAAUUCAGGCCCAGGAGGAAAUAGUGGCUCGAAUACAGGAAGCAAAGGAAGCUGCCCAGCAAGAAAUGACGGAGCAGAAGCAAAUCUACGAAGAGAAGGUGUCAACUCUACAUGAAGCCAUGGAAUCUCUCACCGCUGAAAAGGAACAAGCUGAACAGUCAAAGCAAACAGCAGUGGAAAAGAUCUCUGAAUUAAAGGCACACAGACUGCUCCUGGAACAAGAAAUCUUGAACAAUAGAAAGAGACUACAAAUGGAAGCACUCGCUGCCAAACAGGCUUUAGAAGAAACCAAAAUGAACCAGGUACGAAUAAUCACAGAAUUGGAAAAAGAAAAGAAGAAAAUGCAAGAUGAUGUACUAAAGCUGAAAGAGGCGAAGCAAAACCGCGACAAAAUACGAGAAGAAUUUAAAGCGUCUUUUAAUAGUAUUGGAAGGAAAAAUUCCUUGGCAGAUGAUCCGAACAAGAAGGAAUUGCUGCGUAUCACCAUGUUUCUACGAGAAGCCAACAAGAUCAGCCAGAGUUUAUCAAAAAACAUUACCUUUAGCCGAGAUGAUGUCGUAGUGGACGGAAAGUCGGAAAUGAAGAUUCGUUUGAACAACACAAAGAAAGGUUUAACGACCAUUUGGUCCUUGGAGAAAUUUCAAAGUGCCUUGGAGCAGAUGAGAGAGCUUUACCAGCAACGCGACAAUGACAGCAUCUCAGGAGAGUCUGGGGACGAAGUUGAUCCUUUUAAUGACCCGGAUGAUAAAUGGGAGAAAGAUUUCAAAUUGGACUCGGCAAGUAACAGACGCAGCACUUCCACCAGUAGUUCAGGGCUGUCAUCUCGUGCCAGGUCAUCAUCGGCUGGAAAGGCACAAGGAUUCUCUCCCAACAAAGCGGAAAGCAUAUUUGCUAAGUAUCGUAAUCAGCAAACCCAAGGAUCUACUACAGAGGCUCCUGAGGCACCUUCUGAUGACCAAGGGACUUCAUCUGAGAGGCCUGUCCCAGACACACCCGGCAGACCUCCUGUGGCCCCGAUCAGUAGGCGAAAGAGCGAAACCAGAAGACCUGGACCGUCCUUACCUAGACUUUGUAGAGAUUCCCUGAAGAAUUAUGUGGAUUCAUUGAAAGAUCUACCAAGUCCGUUUAAUGAGCCGAUGUAUGAGAAAGUCUUGAGAGUCGUGAAGGAGAUUAAAAAAAGUGUUGCCACCCUCGUAAAAGCAAAUCAAGAUAAAAUAACGUCUGUUGCAGAAGGUCAUCAGUGCUGUGUUUCUACCACCAUUUCCUUACAAAUGCUCUCUGAGCAUGUGCGAAUGUGGGGCACCGCUGAAAUUAACAAUGAGCCGUUUGUUGAGUUGAGCUCUCAGCUUCUUGACACUGUCCGGCGAUUGGCUGGUCACGUGAUCGGUAUCAUCGAGAUCCUUGACGGUUCAAGUUCAAACAUAGACGAUCUUGUUGGGGCUUUCAACGAUGACGUCAUACACAUCGUACGUCACACAGCCAAAAUGGCUGUUCUGUCUUCGCAAGAAGAAAAACCGAAAGACGAGAACACCUCCUCAGUGUGUGAGGCUGACAGUGAAUUAAACAAGGCGUUUGUAGAGGGACAAGACAUGUCCAUGGAGCUUUCCGUUCGUGACUCCAUGUCUGCUCUCUCUGAAAUUCAGGAAAAAAUUCAAACGAGAGAUUUGGACUCUUGCAGUACUGGGGUGGAAAGAGAAAUCACGGAACAUGCUGUUGCUCUCGUAAGAACCACCAGCGAUUUUGUUCAUCAGGGACGUGAAGUGCAGAUGCAACUAGCAACGACCUCAAAUAACUCCAGCUGCAGAAAGAACACAGGGCACAAUCGACUGAUAUCUGUUAAAAAGUUUGUAAGCAGUGUAAACACACUGCUCCAAAGGACAAGAGAUUUAGCUUCGAGCGUGCGGAUGGCCUGCGAAGAUAUGGACUUGGAAAAACUUGUUUCGUUACCAGAAGAAAUCUGCUCAUCGGCGGGAAAUAUUGUACGGCAAAAACGAGCGUUUAUCGAGACAGAAUAUUCAGCCUCUGUGGGGAGUAAUCAGGACAUUUUGGACGAAAUUGGAUAUUUGGAAAAGAAAUGCAAUGACGUUGAAGUAGCUGCAGGGGAUUUGAGGAAAACGGUGACGAAGUUUUUGUUCCUGAGUCCAGCGCCGAAGUCUUUGCAGAAAAAGAGAAACUACAAAGUGUUUGGGACUGAAGAUGAUCACUCGGACGUGACAAAUUACUCUCCGUUUAUCGGAGGAUCAAAUCAUACUAGGACACCGUUGGUAUCGCGCAGUAAAAAAUUAAUCAGUGGAAAAGAAUCGAGGAGCCCACGAAAAUUGUGGAGUAAAGAAUCGCCGGUUUAAUUAAUUCAGAAGAACAUGUAAUUCUAUUAACGAAAAAAGUGUGCUGUUUGUUUGAAGAUCGAUUGCUGAUGGUUUAUUCAGUAUUACAAGGUUAUUCUAAUGAUACUCUCAAAUUGGUCAAAAGACCCUAAGUUAUAUUGCAGAAGAAAAUGUUCAUGUAAGGAUUCCCACCUUUGAAAUUUCUUUUCUGAAGGCAAAAGUGAUGGAUUCAUUUAAAUGGCGACACGUAAACACAGGCAUAAGGGUUACCCCAAAUAUCGUACUUGUUCAGGUGAAUCCUAAAGCCCACUUUUUCAUCUACGUAAAUUAUAGAGAACCCAGAUAAAUACUCAUUUCCUCAUUUCCGUGACAAAAUUGUCAACAACACUGGUUUUCCUUUGACACUCAACCAAAAAAUAAAUACUUGAUUUCAUUCGC
rnacentral:misc_RNA from 1 species